GACGAACGCUGGCGGCGUGCCUAAUACAUGCAAGUAGAACGCUGAAGGAGGAGCUUGCUUCUCUGGAUGAGUUGCGAACGGGUGAGUAACGCGUAGGUAACCUGCCUGGUAGUGGGGGAUAACUAUUGGAAACGAUAGCUAAUACCGCAUAAUAGCAGUUGUUGCAUGAUAACUGUUUGAAAGGUGCAAUUGCACCGCUACCAGAUGGACCUGCGUUGUAUUAGCUAGUUGGUGGGGUAACGGCUCACCAAGGCGACGAUACAUAGCCGACCUGAGAGGGUGAUCGGCCACACUGGGACUGAGACACGGCCCAGACUCCUACGGGAGGCAGCAGUAGGGAAUCUUCGGCAAUGGAUGGAAGUCUGACCGAGCAACGCCGCGUGAGUGAAGAAGGUUUUCGGAUCGUAAAGCUCUGUUGUAAGAGAAGAACGAGUGUGAGAGUGGAAAGUUCACACUGUGACGGUAUCUUACCAGAAAGGGACGGCUAACUACGUGCCAGCAGCCGCGGUAAUACGUAGGUCCCGAGCGUUGUCCGGAUUUAUUGGGCGUAAAGCGAGCGCAGGCGGUUAGAUAAGUCUGAAGUUAAAGGCUGUGGCUUAACCAUAGUACGCUUUGGAAACUGUUUAACUUGAGUGCAAGAGGGGAGAGUGGAAUUCCAUGUGUAGCGGUGAAAUGCGUAGAUAUAUGGAGGAACACCGGUGGCGAAAGCGGCUCUCUGGCUUGUAACUGACGCUGAGGCUCGAAAGCGUGGGGAGC
rnacentral:rRNA from 1 species